GGAUGUGAGGGCAAUCUGGCUGCGACAUCUGUCACCCCAUUGAUCGCCAGGGUUGAUUCGGCUGAUCUGGCUAGGCGGGUGUCCCCUUCCUCCCUCACCGCUCCAUGUGCGUCCCUCCCGAAGCUGCGCGCUCGGUGGAAGAGGACGACAUCCCAGGUAUAGAAGGAGUGUACCGAGGUCUCCAGUCUUCGGUCCCGGGUAUAUGAUAGCUGCGCUCCCCUGCUAGAACCUCCAAACAAGCUUAUGGUGGAAGGGUUUUCUUAGGCAAGAAAUACUCAGAAGAAGGUCUGCAAAUUCCUUCCUCC
rnacentral:snRNA from 1 species